rnacentral:snRNA from 1 species
AUACCUACCUGGUAAGGGAGACACCAUGAUCAGACAGGUGGUUUUCCCAGGGCAAGGCUCAUCCCCUGCACUUUUUUUUUUUUUUUUUUUAAUAGAUCAUGGAGCAGAUCCUCCUGGAAGAUAUUUUAACACUUAUGGAAGAGAGGGAGGUGAUCAUAGAAAGCAACCUGG